AACGAACGCUGGCGGCAUGCCUAACACAUGCAAGUCGAACGAGACCUUCGGGUCUAGUGGCGCACGGGUGCGUAACGCGUGGGAACCUGCCCUUAGGUUCGGAAUAACUCCCCGAAAGGGGUGCUAAUACCGGAUAAUGUCUUCGGACCAAAGAUUUAUCGCCUUUGGAUGGGCCCGCGUUGGAUUAGCUAGUUGGUAGGGUAAAAGCCUACCAAGGCGACGAUCCAUAGCUGGUCUGAGAGGAUGAUCAGCCACACUGGGACUGAGAAGCGGCCCAGACUCCUACGGGAGGCAGCAGUGGGGAAUAUUGGACCAUGGGCGAAAGCCUGAUCCAGCAAUGCCGCGUGAGUGAUGAAGGCCUUAGGGUUGUAAAGCUCUUUUAACCGGGAUGAUAAUGACAGUACCGGGAGAAUAAGCUCCGGCUAACUCCGUG
rnacentral:rRNA from 1 species